CUGAGACUGAGAAGACUGGAAGGAAACAGGAGGCAAAAUUGAGGACUCCUACAAAAGGGAAGCUUGGGGACAUAGUAAUGAGACUUACUGUGGUUACCAGAGGCUGGUCUCACCAGCCCAGCCCACCCCUAGUACUGGGGGGAGACGGCGGCGCACAGUAGAUGAAGAUCCAGAUGAGCGACGGCAGCGCUUUCUAGAGCGCAACCGGGCUGCAGCCUCCCGCUGCCGCCAAAAGCGAAAGCUGUGGGUGUCCUCCCUAGAGAAGAAGGCCGAAGAACUCACUUCUCAGAACAUUCAGCUGAGUAAUGAAGUCACAUUACUACGCAACGAGGUGGCCCAGUUGAAACAGCUACUGUUAGCUCAUAAAGACUGCCCAGUCACUGCACUACAGAAAAAGACUCAAGGCUAUUUAGAAAGCCCCAAGGAAAGCUCAGAGCCAACGGGUUCUCCAGCCCCUGUGAUUCAGCACAGCUCAGCAACAGCCCCUAGCAAUGGCCUCAGUGUUCGCUCUGCAGCUGAAGCUGUGGCCACCUCGGUCCUCACUCAGAUGGCCAGCCAAAGGACAGAACUGAGCAUGCCGAUACAAUCGCAUGUAAUCAUGACCCCACAGUCCCAGUCUGCGGGCAGAUGAUGCCUCCUCUGGUGGAGAGGUCCUCAGCCAGAGCUCGCCCACCCAAGAGCCAAGAGAGAUGUCAUCUUAUCCCCUCCCAUCUGCCUUGGACAUGGCAAUAUGGGUGGGGGGGAAUUGUGUGUUGUGAGUAAUGGACAGAUAUGGGGCUUUUUAGCCAUGUGGUCAUGUACGUUUGACACCUGUGCUGGGGGCCUCCCAGCCCCAGAGCCUCAUAGAUCAUCCCCCAGGGUGGGGUUUCUGAUGCACCCACAGCCAAAGGCCUUUCCAGAUGGUCCGAACAAUCACCCCUGCCCCAUGCACGUGUAUCUUGUCUCUUUUAACACUAACCCUUUGCACUUCUAGGUUUGGGGUUUCUCAGUUCCCUCUCUUCCCACUAAGCCGUGGCUGUUACCUUUUUGUUCCUUACCAGCAUGGCACUUCCUGCCAGAUAGAGGGAGGCUAGAUUUGAUGGCAUAUCACCCACUGACCCAGCCCCAGCCACCCCAUGGAC
rnacentral:sRNA from 1 species